AGGACGAACGCUGGCGGCGUGCUUAACACAUGCAAGUCGAGCGGUAAGGCCUUUCGGGGUACACGAGCGGCGAACGGGUGAGUAACACGUGGGUGAUCUGCCCUGCACUUCGGGAUAAGCCUGGGAAACUGGGUCUAAUACCGGAUAUGACCUCCUAUCGCAUGGUGGGUGGUGGAAAGAUUUAUCGGUGCAGGAUGGGCCCGCGGCCUAUCAGCUUGUUGGUGGGGUAAUGGCCUACCAAGGCGACGACGGGUAGCCGACCUGAGAGGGUCGACGGCCAACGACUGGGACUGGAGACACGGCCCAGACUCCUACGGGAGGCAGCAGUGGGGAAUAUUGCACAAUGGGCGAAAGCCUGAUGCAGCGACGCCGCGUGAGGAGUGACGGCCGUCGGUUGUAACGUACUUCUAGCAGGACGGAAGACGCGAAGUAGACGGUACCGUACGCAGAAGAAAGACACCGCGAACUAACGUAGCCGAGACGAGCCGCGUACGUACUGAGCGGCGUGCGAGA
rnacentral:rRNA from 1 species